AUUAAUUUUUUUUAAAAAAUAAAACAUAUCUAUAUGUUUUGAGAGGCCAAAGGGGUGGAAAAAGAAGAAAAGAUUUUAUCUUUAGGAUCUUGCAUUUGUGUUCUGGGGUACUCGACUGUGUAAAGUCUCAGACCAAUUGUUUCUUAAUUUCCUUCCUUGCAAUGGUUCUUUAUUUUCAGGCUGGAUGUUUGUAUCCACAAUUACUUAGUAAAGAGAGAAGGCUUGUGCUCAGGCUUUCCAAGCUGAAGGAAAAGCAUCAUCUGACCCAGUUGCUAUUGAUGCUCCUGGCAGUUUCUCUUUGAAUGGUGGUCGAUGUUUUGGGAUAUCUUCAUUACCAGGACAAAUGAGAAGCACUCCGAGGUGGCGGCAUUUCGUAUCGAGUUUCAAAUAAAAAAAGCUUGGGAACAGCAACCUCAACAACAACAGCAAUCUCAAGAGCAGCAGCAGCAAGUGCAGAUGCAUCAGCUGUAUUAUAGAGGCAGGCUCAGCAGCAGCACCAACAACAGCAACAGCAGCAAUGGGAUGGCCAUGUCUUGAAUGACUCAGCUAAUGGAAUUGUCAGGAAUGAUCCUCUCACUAGACAAAAUCCCGGCACUGCCAAUGCACUGGCAACAAAAAUGUACGAGGACAGAUUGAAGUUGCCUGCUCAGACCGAUUCUUUGAAUGAUGUAGCUUUGAAGGUACGAAGUUGAAAUAUUACACAACUUUGAUAAUGUGACGAGUGUAAAAGAAGUUAUCCUUUAGGAUACUUCUUAGUUGAAUGGGUACUCUCAUUUAUUGGUGCACUAAAAUACACACUUUUUUAUUUAAUUGUUACACCAUAUAUUUUCUUUCAGCAAAAUAUUUUUGAAAAUGUUGGCCAUCUUUUGGAUCAAAAUCAUGCAUCAUUAUGAAAUCAGCAGCAGCAGCUGGCCAGGCCUCUGCAUAUGUUCAAUACAUAUAUAGUUAUAUCUUGUGAUAUUGGGAAACCUCAUUAUUAUCUGUAGUUGACUGUUUUACUUGUAGCAUUGGUGCAAAUGGAGAAUUCAUGUACCCUCCCCAAAUUUGUUUCGAAUAAGACUUGGUUUGUUAUGUUUUAUUGCUGCAAAUGGAGGAAAAGAGAAACAAAAGAACGGCAUUCUUAACAUAGAAUGAGUAGUUUCUCCCCACUAGCCGUAAGGAAGGAUUACAAAUACCGUUUCUUGUUUGUAAUGUGUAGAAAGGUGGAUUGUGAAUCUUUCCUCCCCCCCUCAGUCUGCAUAUGUGUGUACUUUAUGUACUUGUGUACGUUAGCAAAGGGUUAUA